GAAGGAAGACACGCUGCAGCGUAGUUUCAUCAGAAGUUGGCGCUAUAGGCUACGCAUGGCUGUUAUCCACCAGUAAACAGAGUAGAAGUAGUAAAGGUUGCGAACCGGAAACAGAACAAGUCGCCUUGGCAAUCUAACCGCAUCUAACCCAUCUACUAGGAUGCGGUUCUACGUCUUCAGGAAUGUGGUUCAAUUGGGAAAGUUUUAAUUGUUCUUUCAUGUCAGUUAUUGUUGGCCAUGUUUCAUGCUGUCCGGGAUGUGGAAGAUUUCCAUUCAGCUUUUCUAUAUUCCGAAU